GAUGAACGCUGGCGGCGUGCCUAAUACAUGCAAGUCGAGCGAACAGACGAGGAGCUUGCUCCUCUGACGUUAGCGGCGGACGGGUGAGUAACACGUGGAUAACCUACCUAUAAGACUGGGAUAACUUCGGGAAACCGGAGCUAAUACCGGAUAAUAUAUUGAACCGCAUGGUUCCAUAGUGAAAGACGGUUUUGCUGUCACUUAUAGAUGGAUCCGCGCCGCAUUAGCUAGUUGGUAAGGUAACGGCUUACCAAGGCAACGAUGCGUAGCCGACCUGAGAGGGUGAUCGGCCACACUGGAACUGAGACACGGUCCAGACUCCUACGGGAGGCAGCAGUAGGGAAUCUUCCGCAAUGGGCGAAAGCGUGACGGAGCAACGCCGCGUGAGUGAUGAAGGUCUUCGGAUCGUAAAACUCUGUUAUUAGGGAAGAACAAAUGUGUAAGUAACUAUGAACGUCUUGACGGUACCUAAUCAGAAAGCCACGGCUAACUACGUG
rnacentral:rRNA from 1 species